AAUAGAUACCCGGGUAGUCCUGGCCCUAAACGAUGAAUGCUUGGUGUGGCGGGUAUCGAUCCCUGCCGUGCCGAAGUUAACGCGAUAAGCAUUCCGCCUGGGGAGUACGGUCGCAAGGCUGAAACCCAAAGGAAUUGACGGGGGCCCGCACAAGCGGUGGAGCAUGUGGUUCAAUUCGACGCAACGCGAAGAACCUUACCUGGGCUCGAAAUGCAGAUGACCAUCGGCGAAAGUCGACUUCCGCAAGGACAUCUGUAUAGGUGCUGCAUGGCUGUCGUCAGCUCGUGUCGUGAGAUGUUGGGUUAAGUCCCGCAACGAGCGCAACCCUUGUUCUCUGUUGCCAUCAGGUCAAGCUGGGCACUCUGAGGAGACUGCCGGUGACAAACCGGAGGAAGGUGGGGAUGACGUCAAGUCAGCAUGGCCUUUAUGUCCAGGGCUACACACGUGCUACAAUGGCCGGUACAAAGCGCUGCAAGCCCGCGAGGGUGAGCCAAUCGCAUAAAGCCGGU
rnacentral:rRNA from 1 species